rnacentral:ncRNA from 1 species
CAAAAGGCUAAGAAAGAAACAAGUAGCAUUAUUAAAAGUCUAACAGAGAGUUGCCGAGUGGUGAGAGGCGCAAGAAAGAUAAUGCGAAUACAUUCUGGAGUUGCGCACUGAAUUAUUAGUAGGAUGCGACGGUGAACACCGUUAUAUGUAUGAGUAUAUAUUACUCGCUGAGGUACAUAACGUGAGUUGUGUAUGAACAUUAGGUGGUAUCACGAAGAAUUCGUCCUUUUG